ACUCAAAGGAAUUGACGGGGGCCCGCACAAGCAGCGGAGCGUGUGGUUUAAUUCGAUGCAACGCGAAGAACCUUACCGGGGUUUGACAUGUAUGGGAAAGCCCUAGAGAUAGGGCCCUCCUUCGGGAUCCAUGCACAGGUGCUGCAUGGCUGUCGUCAGCUCGUGCCGUGAGGUGUUGGGUUAAGUCCCGCAACGAGCGCAACCCUCGUCGCUAGUUGCUUUUUUCUAGCGAGACUGCUGCGCAAAACGCAGAGGAAGGUGGGGAUGACGUCAAGUCAUCAUGGCCUUUAUGCCCCGGGCUACACACACGCUACAAUGGGCGGUACAGACGGUUGCGAAGCCGCGAGGUGGAGCUAAUCCGAGAAAACCGUCCUCAGUUCAGAUUGCAGGCUGAAACUCGCCUGCAUGAAGGCGGAGUUGCUAGUAACCGCAGGUCAGCACACUGCGGUGAAUACGUUCCCGGGCCUUGUACACACCGCCCGU
rnacentral:rRNA from 1 species